UACGAAGGGGGCUAGCGUUGCUCGGAAUCACUGGGCGUAAAGCGCACGUAGGCGGAUCAUUAAGUCAGGGGUGAAAUCCUGGAGCUCAACUCCAGAACUGCCUUUGAUACUGGGGAUCUCGAGUCCGGAAGAGGUGAGUGGAACUCCGAGUGUAGAGGUGAAAUUCGUAGAUAUUCGGAAGAACACCAGUGGCGAAGGCGGCUCACUGGUCCGGUACUGACGCUGAGGCACGAAAGCGUGGGGAUCAAACAGG
rnacentral:rRNA from 1 species